rnacentral:rRNA from 1 species
UACAGAGGGUGCGAGCGUUAAUCGGAAUUACUGGGCGUAAAGCGUGCGUAGACGGUUAUCUAAGUCGGGUGUGAAAGCCCCGGGCUCAACCUGGGAAUUGCAUUCGAGACUGAAUAGCUAGGGUACGGUAGAGGGAAGUGGAAUUUCCGGUGUAGCGGUGAAAUGCGUAGAUAUCGGAAGGAACAUCAGUGGCGAAAGCGACUUCCUGGACCAGUACCGACGUUCAGGCACGAAAGCCGUGGGGAGCAAACAGGA